CAGUCGCCGCGGUAAUACAGAGGGUGCGAGCGUUGUUCGGAAUUAUUGGGCGUAAAGGGUGCGUAGGCGGUUUGGCAAGUUUGGUGUGAAAUCUUCGGGCUCAACUCGAAGUCUGCAUCGAAAACUGCCGGGCUUGAGUAUGGGAGAGGUGAGUGGAAUUUCCGGUGUAGCGGUGAAAUGCGUAGAUAUCGGAAGGAACACCUGUGGCGAAAGCGGCUCACUGGACCAUAACUGACGCUGAUGCACGAAAGCUAGGGGAGCAAACAGGAUUAGAUACCCCGGUAGUCCCUGUCUCUUAUAC
rnacentral:rRNA from 1 species